AAUGAAAUCAAAGCAAAAAUAAGUUACAAUUGGACAUAAACAAAAGUCCUAGCACCUCUACAUAAUUACUCUUACCCAGAUUCUUAUUCUAGGCAUACAGAGUGUCAAAAACAAUAAAUGUAAAAACCUUAGAGAGGAGACCAUGAAGCAGAUGUUGUAAGGAACAUGUCAAAACCUUGGGUUAACAAUUAAACGUGUGGUAAGGAGACAAACUGCAAUUAGAGGCAGGCCUACGAGGAUGGACAAGACCAGAAAAGGAGGCCCAGAUGGCUAAGUAAGAGGAGGCCUGGCCAAAAAGGACUGGUGAUUGGGAAUUGUGUGCCAACUAAACUCAUCACAAUAAGCACAAGACCCCUGACCAAAGGACAUCAGGUAUGAGAUGGGAUGAAGUUGAAGUCACCAAGAAAGCUAGUCAUCUUGCUGAUCAUAUUUGAUUGACAAGGCAGUGAGCAGCACCACGCAGAGGCCUGCCAACACUGGAAUAGCGGCUGAACUAUUUACAAAAAGCUAUUCCAUAAGAAAAUCAGCCUCAAAUGAUAUCACCAGACUGUAUAAAAGGGGAGAGGGAAGGAAAGAGAUGAAAAAUCACUAGCACCACUAUUGUAUUCAUAUUCCAUGUUCCUAUUCAAGAACAUUUUUCACCAACUUGACCAUUGGAGCCCCCUCAUACUGAAAAACUUUGGUUGGGCAGCUCUCAUCAGUUGUGCUCUUUGGCAGGGAUCUGGAUGCUCAUACAGUCAUCUUGCUCUCUACAGUGAGGAAUUUAGCCCCACACAAACCAUGACAAGUAAGGAUAAGCUAAAAUCCUGUAUUAAAAACAGUGACAUGACAACAAGUACAUGGCAAUAAUUAAAAUCAUGUACAUUCUAUAUGCAACAAAUACAUAAGUUGGACUGAAUUAUAUAAGUUACUAUCUAUGAAGCACGGACACAGAUAUGGACAUGGACACCGACACGGGACACGGCAAUUUCUAAAAAAUGGAGACACGGACACGGCGGGGGACGCGGCGAAUUGUUUUCUAUUUUUUUAUAUAUUUUUAUUUGUUAUGUAGAUUCAUAUUACAUUCAUCCUCAAUCAAAAUUAACAAAUACUAACAUAGUAACAUUAGUUCAUUAAAUAUAACCACUACAUUUAAACAAAUUAACAAAUCAUCCAUUCACAAAAAAGUCAUAAUAAACGAUAAUAAGAACUCAGACAAGAAGAGGAAAACAUUCAACAUCCAACAAUAUUCUUCACAGAAGCACUAAAUAAAAGGCAAAAAAAAAAAAAUGAGCCCUGCUGUGUCCCGAUAUGGAUAUGCGUGUCCCCGCCGUAUCCCCUACAAAAAAAAAUCAUUAAAUUAAAGGGAUACACCAUCUGGCGUGUCCCGUACGUGUCCCCGGUGUGUCCCCGUGUCGGACACCGCCACGGCACCGAUUUUGGAGUGUCCAUGCUUCAUAGGUUACUAUAUAAACCCAUGCAAAACUGUACAGAUAAGCUCAAUGAAGAUCAUAACGUCACUUUUUAUGUAUACUGGAGUUUAUAUCCACCAGUAUACACGUGUCCCUUCCAUGCUUCUUUUCUUCUGGCCACCUGUCUGACACAUUUCUAGGAGUUUAGUAUGGUGUCUGCUAACCCGUAGGAUGCAAAAAUGGCUCCUCAUGAAGCUUACUGUUUCAUGGAUGCCUAAUAAAAAAUCACUAUAGCUGUGUAAUGGUGUUUGGGUAUUUUCAGAAAGAUUGAGAACAUGUUUGAGAGGUAGAGCACAAUAUCUAGAGGUGAUGAACAAGAAUCUAGUUCUACCUACAACAAUAGUCAACUAGGUUACUCCAUGCAGUAACACAUGUAAACCAGGUUCACUUUAACACCACAUAUUAACAGACUGCACUAAAGUAGCUAGCAAGGCUACCUCCAAUGAUCCAAUCAAUUAACUAGGGUUUUAAAAAGCGGCCGCAACCGUUACGUAACGGUUUUGGUGGUUACUGCCUAUGAAGCAUGGACACUCCAAAAUUGAUGCCGUAGCAGUGUCCGACAUGUGGACACGCCGGGGACACGGGGACACGCCGUGGACACGUACGGGACACGCCAGAUGGCGUGUCCCUUUAAUUUAAUGAUUUUUUUGAAAGGGGACACGGCGGGGACACGCUUGUCCAUUUCUGGACACGCCAUGGGACACGACGGGGCUCGUUUUUGAAUUUUUUAUAUUUAUUUGGGGUCAAAGUAUAAUAUUUAUAAAGUAAAAAAAAAAAAGAAAAACAAUGGGCAAGCCCUAAUCGAACAACUGAGGAGUAAAGGAGUAAAAUCAGACCUACAAAGACCUUCUCUCUCUCAGUCGAAGCCCUCUGAAGUCGAUCGAAGCUCUGUUUCUCAGUCGCAGCCCUCCGACGUCGAUCGAAGACCUCUGAUCCAGUCGUCUCAGUCUCUGUUUCAGUCGAUCCAGUCGUCUUCGAAGGAAAAAUGUCUAGUUCAAAUUCUGCCAAUAACACACCAUCUGCCUUUGAUGCUGAAGAUGAUAAGCCACUGUGGAAAUAUGUGACAAGAUUAGAAAAAUCUGGUGCAAAGGGGGGGAAUUAUACUUUUCAAUGUAACUUUUGUCGGGUUACACGUAAAGGUUCAUACACUAGGGUAAAAGCCCAUUUGAUAUAAAUUAAAAAUCAGGGGAUAGAAGUGUGUCCAAAAGUAACAAGAAAGGAUAAAGCUGAUUUUGAGAGAGCAAUUGCAGAAGCAGAGUUGAAAUUGAAAAACUCUAGGUUGAAGAAAGUCCCAUUGCCUCCUCCUAGUUCAAGUGCAUCAUUAGGUUUAUGUUUUAAUGAACCAGAGGAGAUAUAUGGAUCAAAAAGGAAGAGGUCAACUGCUUUAGGGAGUGGAAGUAGUAGUAACCCUGUUAUGAAAGCAUUUAACAUUGGGGCUCGAGAACGACUAAAUAGUGAGAUAGCUAGAAUGUUUUAUUCAGUAGGCUUGCCAUUUCAUUUGGCAAGAAAUCCUUACUAUGUUAGUGCAUUUACUUUUGUUGCAAAUAACAACAUACAAGGAUAUGUACCACCUGGGUAUAACAUGUUGAGAACUACAUUGCUUCAAAAAGAAAGGAUAAACAUUGAUAGGUUGUUAGAUCCUAUUCGAGGCUCAUGGAGAGAGAAGGGGGUGAGUAUAGUCAGUGAUGGAUAGAGUAAUUCCCAACGAAGGCCAUUAAUAAAUUCUAUGGCUGUUACCGGAGGUGGGCCUAUGUUUCUUAAAGCGGUUGAUUGUUCAGGGGAAACAAAGGACAAAUAUUUCAUUUCCAACUUGAUGAAGGAAGUAAUUAUGGAGGUUGGGCCUAAAAAUGUGGUUCAAGUCAUUAUAGAUAAUGCCGCAAAUUGCAAGGCAGCCGGGCACCUAAUUGAAGCACAAUUUCCUCACAUCUUUUGGACUCCUUGUGUUGUGCACACCAUCAAUCUUGCCUUGAAGAAUAUUUGUGCUGCCAAGAAUGUGGAAAAUAAUUCAGUUGCAUUUGAAGAGUGUAAUUGGAUUAGUGAGAUUGUAGGUGAUGUGAUGAUGAUCAAGAAUUUUAUUUGUAAUCAUUCCAUGAGGUUAGCAGUGUACAAUAAGUUUGUGAGUUUGAAGCUUCUUUCAGUUGCCGAGACACGCUUUGCUUCUUCCAUUGUCAUGCUUAAGAGGGUCAAGUUGAUAAAGCAAGGUCUCCAAACAAUGGUAAUCAAUGACAAAUGGAGUUGUUAUAGGGAUGAUGAUGAUAUUGGCAAGGCCAAGUUUGUGAAGGAUAAGUUAUUGGAUGACUUUUGGUGGGAUCAAGUUGACUACAUACUUUCCUUUACUGUUCCUAUUUAUGACAUGAUUAGAGUUUGUGACACCGUAGACCUUCUCUUCACUUAGUAUAUGACAUGUGGGGAUACAAUGAUAGAAAAAGUGAAGAUGGUGAUAUAUAAGCAUGAAGGAAAGUGACUAGAAGAUGAGUCUACAUUCUAUAAUGUAGUACAUCAGAUUCUUGUAGACCGGUGGAACAAGAACAACACACCACUUCAUUGCUUGGCACACUCAUUGAAUCCAAGGUAUUAUAGUGAUGUGUGGCUUCAUGAGGAUCCAAGCCGAGUUCCCCCACAUAGGGAUGAAGAGGUUUGUCUUGAGAGAAAAAAGUGCUUGAAAAGGUUCUUUAAUGAUCCAAUGGAGCGCACUAAAGCAAAUUUGGAGUAUGCUAAGUUCUCAACAAAAGAGGGGCCAUUUGCUGACAUUGAUUCCAUUGGAGAUAGAUGUGAUAUGGAUCCUCAUAGUUGGUGGGUUGUUCAUGGUGCAUCUGCACCCACUCUUCAAUCUUUGGCUUUAAGGCUACUUGUGCAACCUUCUUCUUCAUC